UACGGAGGAUCCGAGCGUUAUCCGGAUUUAUUGGGUUUAAAGGGUGCGUAGGCGGCCUAUUAAGUCAGGGGUGAAAGACGGUAGCUUAACUAUCGCAGUGCCUUUGAUACUGAUGGGCUUGAAUGUACUUGAGGUAGGCGGAAUGUGACAAGUAGCGGUGAAAUGCAUAGAUAUGUCACAGAACACCAAUUGCGAAGCAGCUUACUAAAGUAUGAUUGACGCUGAGGCACGAAAGCGUGGGGAUCAAACAGG
rnacentral:rRNA from 1 species